rnacentral:rRNA from 1 species
CAAAAACAUCGCCUCUUGAAUUAGAAAUAAGAGGUCCAGCCUGCCCAGUGACUAAUGUUCAACGGCCGCGGUAUCCUAACCGUGCGAAGGUAGCGUAAUCACUUGUUCUUUAAAUGUGGACUAGUAUGAACGGCACCACGAGGGUUAUACUGUCUCCUUUCUCCAAUCAGUGAAACUAAUCUCCCCGUGAAGAAGCGGGGAUAUACUUAUAAGACGAGAAGACCCUAUGGAGCUUUAAAGUUAUCUUCAAACGCCAAACCUCUUCCAAGUCAUAGACUCCUUCACGAAACCACGCGCCAUGAAGACAACUUUUAGGUUGGGGUGACCAUGGAGUAUAAAACAACCUCCACGCUGAACAGGCCUCUAAACCUUUAGCCAAGGGCCACAGCCCGCCGCACUAAAAAAUUAACACACAUUGAUCCAAUGAAUUUUGAUCAACGAACCAAGUUACCCUAGGGAUAACAGCGCAAUCUACUUCAAGAGUUCCUAUCGACAAGUGGGUUUACGACCUCGAUGUUGGAUCAGGGUGUCCCAGUGGUGCAGCCGCUACUAAUGGUUCGUUUGUUCAACGAUUAAAACCCU